GAGAAAAUUAGCACAGCCCCUACACAGGGGUGACAGGCAGAUCUGUGAAGUGUUCCACCAAUAGAGAGAAAAACAGAACUGGAGGGUGGGGGGCGGUGACCACACAGGGCUCUGCUGUCAGAUGUGGAUUAGUCCUCUUGUAGAAAACAGCUCCAGGUAGACCUGAAGGGGAUAGGAACUCCACAAGAAUACCAACUGAGUCAACUAACCUGGACCCUUUGGGGGCUCCCAGAGACUGAAUCAACCAACCAAAAAGGCACUCUGCACUCCGUUGGGACCACACAGCUCAGCAGUGAAUGAUCUCCUAGGAUGUUACGUAGAGUGUGUGACUCUCCAGAAGAGCUGAGUGGCUCCAAGCUAAUUAAGACAGCCCUGGUAAAGAAAGGAACAAUGCUGACCUCUAGCAGUGGCAAACAGAGUUAUGGAAGCGUCUGGGCAGAGCCUGAGGUCUCCAUGAAGGAAAACAGCACCAAUAUUGGCAGGAAGAACAAAGGAACAGAAGACUCUCUGCCUCCCACUUAGAGGAAGCUGGGAGCCUGUCCCUUAAUUAAAUAAAUAAUAAAUCACCCUGA